rnacentral:rRNA from 1 species
GGGGAAUAUUGCACAAUGGGCGGAAGCCUGAUGCAGCGACGCCGCGUGAGGGAUGACGGCCUUCGGGUUGUAAACCUCUUCCAGCUCCGACGAAGCGCAAGUGACGGUAGGAGCAGAAGAAGCGCCGGCCAACUACGUGCCAGCAGCCGCGGUAAGACGUAGGGCGCGAGCGUUGUCCGGAUUUAUUGGGCGUAAAGAGCUCGUAGGCGGCUUGUUGCGUCGACUGCGAAAACCCGCGGCUCAACCGCAGGCCUGCAGUCGAUACGGGCAGGCUAGAGUUCGGUAGGGGAGACUGGAAUUCCUGGUGUAGCGGUGAAAUGCGCAGAUAUCAGGAGGAACACCGGUGGCGAAGGCGGGUCUCUGGGCCGAUACUGACGCUGAGGAGCGAAAGCGUGGGGAGCGAAC